UCUACCUCCAAUACAAAUCAAAUGGUAUUGAUUUGAGUUCUCGCAUUGGCUCCUCUCCGGUAAUACAGCUAUGUUAGACAUUGCCUUUUUCCUGUCUAGGCACUGUAAAUACAACCUGUUCUGUCCUCUGUCCUGUCUAGGUACUGUAAAUACAACCUGUUCUGUCCUCUGUCUUGGGUGUUUGUUGGUUGUAUUUACUGUAAAUACAACCUGUUCUGGACUGUCUAGGUACUGUAAAUACAACCUGUUAUGUCUUCUGUCCUGUUUAGGUACUGUAAAUACAACCUGUUAUGUCUUUGUCCUGUUUAGGUACUGUAAAUACAACCUGUUCUUUCCUCUGUCCUGUCUAGGUACUGUAAAUACAACCUGUUCUGUCCUCUGUCCUGUCUAGGUACUGUAAAUACAACCUGUUCUGUCCUCUGUCUUGGGUGUUUGUUGGUUGUAUUUACUGUGAAUACAACCUGUUCUGUCCUCUGUCUUGGGUGUUUGUUGGUUGUAUUUACUGUAAAUACAACCUGUUCUGGACUGUCUAGGUACUGUAAAUACAACCUGUUCUGUCCUCUGUCCUGUUUAGGUACUGUAAAUACAUGUUCUGUCCUCUGUCCUGUCGAGGUACUGUAAAUACAACUUGUUCUGUCCUGUCUAGGUACUGUAAAUACAGCCUAUUCUGUCCUGUCUAGGUACUGUAAAUACAGCCUGUUCUGUCCUGUCUAGGUACUGUAAAUACAACUUGUUCUGUCCUGUCUAGGUACUGUAAAUACAGCCUGUUCUGUCCUGUCUAGGUACU